rnacentral:rRNA from 1 species
GGCGAACGCUGGCGGCGUGCUUAACACAUGCAAGUCGAACGGAAAGGCCCUGCUUUUGUGGGGUGCUCGAGUGGCGAACGGGUGAGUAACACGUGAGUAACCUGCCCUUGACUUUGGGAUAACUUCAGGAAACUGGGGCUAAUACCGGAUAGGAGCUCCUGCUGCAUGGUGGGGGUUGGAAAGUUUCGGCGGUUGGGGAUGGACUCGCGGCUUAUCAGCUUGUUGGUGGGGUAGUGGCUUACCAAGGCUUUGACGGGUAGCCGGCCUGAGAGGGUGACCGGCCACAUUGGGACUGAGAUACGGCCCAGACUCCUACGGGAGGCAGCAGUGGGGAAUAUUGCACAAUGGGCGGAAGCCUGACGCAGCAACGCCGCGUGCGGGAUGACGGCCUUCGGGUUGUAAACCGCUUUCGCCUGUGACGAAGCGUGAGUGACGGUAAUGGGUAAAGAAGCACCGGCUAACUACGUG